rnacentral:rRNA from 1 species
CGUUGAUUACGUCCCUGCCCUUUCUACACACCGCUCCUCACUACUACCGAUUAAAUGGCUCAGCCAGGCCCAGGCACGGAAAAAGAGAGGAAGUCAACAAACAAACAGAGCCGGAAACAAGGGCAAACGAGGGCAUUUAGAGGAAGUAAAAGUCGUAACAAGG